rnacentral:lncRNA from 1 species
CCACUAUGUAAGAUGUGACUGCUUCCCCUUCCGCCAUGGUGGUAAAUUUGCUGAGGCCUCCCCAGCCAUCCAGAACUGUUACAUGUGGAGAUAACAAUUAGGCUCUUGCUGGCUGCAAAGGUUGAGCAACAACGAGGAUGAGACAGGAGAUGCUGGCACAGAGCUCUUUACCUACGGACACUAGCCAUUGCUCUCACCUUCCUCCCAAGGCCUGUAUCCCCCAGAGCUCAAGAUUCUCUGAGGCAGGAAGUGUCUGGGGACUCUGGCUAACUUAACAGAAAAGACCUGGAGAUGCUGACAUCAGAGACAAUAGCUUGGAAAAACGGAGGCCAUGCAGGAAGAAGAAAACUGGGGGGAAAAAAACUCAACCUUCUAUUAACAUUUUCAAAGAUCUAGGAGAAUAUUUUAUACCCAUGAAACAAGAAUACAGAUGCUAUGUUAAAAAAAAGAACAUUCAGAAAUGUAAAAGAGCUGCUCUUAGAAAUUAAAGAUAAUAUAGGAGAAAUUUUUAAAAGCUCAAUAGAAAUUUUAGAAAAUUCUGGAAAAAAAAGAAAAAGAAGCAGGAGAUGGAUAAUAGGAAACAACAGCAAUUCCAGAAAAGAGAGUACCAGAAAUAGACAGGAAGAAGUUAUCAAAGAAAUAAUUUUGAAAAUUGCCAGAACUGAGGGACAUGAGUUGCCAGACUAAAAGGAUCUGCUGAGUGCCACGAUGGAUUAAAGCACUAAGUCCAGUUACUGUAAACUUUCAGAGCACAUGGGACAAAGAAAAGAUUUCAAAAUCUUUCAAAGAAAACUCAAGUUUCAAACACAAAAAUAAGAUCCACGAUAGCACCAAACUUCUCUACAGGAUGGUUGGAAGCCCAAAGACAAUGAAGCAAUGUCUUAAAAACUCAAAGGAAUAGGAAUUGCAACCUAACCAAACCAGCAUAAAUUAGUGUGAGAAUAUAACAAUGAUCUUUUUAGGCACUCAACAUCUCGUAUACCCUUUUUAAAGAAGGUAAUGGCAGAUAUGACCUACCAAAAUAAGACAGUAAAUGAAGAAAGGUAAAAAACUGAAACCCAGCAAAAGGUAAUCCAACAUAAGAGACAGACAAAAGAAAUCCCCAGGAUGAAGAUGAAAGAAAAACCCAAGAUAACAGUUAUGCACCAAGCAUGGAGCAACCAACUCAAACUGGAGCCAAUUCAGAAGGCUCAAGGAGAGAUUUCUUCAACAUGAAAUUAAUAGCUACUUUCCUCCUCCUCCUUCUCCUCCUCCUGCUCCUCCUCCCCCCUAUUUUCCUUUCCCCUCUUUUUUUUCUUCUCUUUUUUCUUAUAAAGUGGUUCCUUUAACAUUUUUUGUCAUGUAACAUUUUUCCUUUAUUUCAAAAGCACUGUAAGAAAUAAAAAUAUUCGUAAUAGCUAACAUGAA